rnacentral:rRNA from 1 species
CAGUAGCCGCGGGAAUACGGAGGGUGCAAGCGUUAAUCGGAAUUACUGGGCGUAAAGCGCACGCAGGCGGUCUGACAAGUCAGAUGUGAAAUCCCCGGGCUUAACCUGGGAACUGCAUUUGAAACUGUCAGGCUGGAGUCUUGUAGAGGGGGGUGGAAUUCCAGGUGUAGCGGUGAAAUGCGUAGAGAUCUGGAGGAAUACCGGUGGCGAAGGCGGCCCCCUGGACAAAGACUGACGCUCAGGUGCGAAAGCGUGGGGAGCAAACAGGAUUAGAUACCCGUGUCCCUGUCUCUUAUACACA